UGCAAAUUAGUUUAAGUAGAAUGUUUGUUUUUGGUACAAAUGGUUUAUUUGGCU
rnacentral:tRNA from 1 species